GCCGCCGCCACCGCCUCAGGGAAGAGGAAGGAGGCCGCGGCUUCGCGUCCCGCCUCUCGCCUGGCUGGCCGUGGGGGGCCUGGACGCAGUGGCCUCCCGAAUCUCCCAGGACCCUAAUAUCGCCCGAGGAUGCUGGGAGGAACGCUGAGCCGACCUCUCCGUUAGGCUGAAGAUUGCACAAACCAUGCUAAUGGCCAGCAUGGAUGGAGGGAGCGUGUGAGAUGUGUGGGGCAGCGUGCUGCAUCUCAGCCAACUCCAGGAGCCAGUUGAUGUGAUGGACUACCUUAAUUGAUUUUUGAAUGUUGAGCCAGCCUUAUGCAUGUGGGAUAAACCCCUGUUGAUCAUGCCAGGACUCACAGGUCCAGGAAUCAAGAGGUGGAAGUGGAAGUGGCACCACUCACCAUCACCCCUAGUGAUCCACCAGCAAAAUUUUUGCUGCCUCUUCCCAUGACGUUACGUUCUGUUGGCCUAGAGGUCUUAGUUCCAGAGGGAGGAACGCUGCCACCAGGAGACACAACAGCAAUUCCGUUAAACUGGAAGUUAAGAUUGCCACCUGGACACUUUGGACUCCUGCUAUCUUUAAAUCAACAGGCUAAGAAGGGAGUUACAGUGUUGACUGAGGUGAUUGACCUGGACUAUCAAGAUGAAAUCAGUCUACUACUCCACAGCAGAGGUAAGGAAGAGUAAGCAUGGAAUACAGAAGAUCCAUUAGGACAUCUCUUAGUAUUACCAUGCCCUGUGAUUAAGGUCAAUGGGAAACUACAACAGCCCAAUCCAGGCAGGACUACAAAUGACCCAGACCCUUCAGGAAUGAAGGUUUGGGUCACUCCACCAGGGAAAAAACCACAGCCUGCUGAGGUGCUUGUUGAAGGCAAAGGGAAUACAGAAUGAGUAGUAGAAGAAGGUGGUCAUCAAUACCAGCUACGACCACGUGACCAGCUGCAGAAACCAGGACUGUAAUUGUCAUGAGUAUUUACUCCUUCUUUUGUUAAAAACAUGUUUUUGCAUGUAUACACUUGUACUAAGAAAAUAUCUUUAUUUUGUUUCCUUUCUCCUUUAUCAUGUGAUGUAAGAUUUAUUGACUUGACAUCAACAUUUAAGUAUUGUUAACUUUAUGUAAUAGUAUUUGGGUUGGGGAUUGGUGUGUUUCCAGUUGUAUGAAGGAUAGUUAUGUUAGGCAUAAUUAUGACCUUAUUAUUGUCUUUAUUUGAAUAUUAUGUAUGAUCUCAGGAGAUGUGUAUGGGUUCAAGUUGACAAAGGGUGGACUUGUGAUGGUUAAUACUGAGUGUCAACUUGAUUGGAUUGAAGGAUACCAAGUAUUCAUCCUGGGUGUAUCUGUGAGGGUGUUGCCAAAGGAGAUUAACAUUUGAGUCGGUGGGCUGGGCAAGGCAGACCCACCCUUAAUCGGGUUGGGUACCAUCUAAUCAGCUGCCAGCAUGGCUAGAAUAUAAUAAGCAGAUAGAAAAUGUGAAAAAAGGUACUGGCCUAGCCUCCCAGCCUACAUCUUUCUGCCAUGCUGGAUGCUUCCUGCCCUUGAACAUCAGACUCCAAGUUCUUCAGUUCUGGAACUUGGACUGGCUCUUCUUCCUCCUCAGUCUGUAGAUGGCCUAUUGUGGGACCUUGUGAUCAUGUGAGUUGUA
ensembl:lncRNA GMDS-DT GMDS divergent transcript